rnacentral:rRNA from 1 species
GAUGAACGCUGGCGGCGUGCUUAACACAUGCAAGUCGAACGGAAAGGCCGAAGCUUGCUUCGGUACUCGAGUGGCGAACGGGUGAGUAACACGUGGGUGAUCUGCCCUGUACUUCGGGAUAAGCUUGGGAGACUGGGUCUAAUACCGGAUAUGACGAUCUCUUGGAUGGGGUUGUGGAAAGCUUUUGCGGUAUGGGAUGAGCUCGCGGCCUAUCAGCUUGUUGGUGGGGUAAUGGCCUACCAAGGCGUCGACGGGUAGCCGGCCUGAGAGGGUGUACGGCCACAUUGGGACUGAGAUACGGCCCAGACUCCUACGGGAGGCAGCAGUGGGGAAUAUUGCACAAUGGGCGCAAGCCUGAUGCAGCGACGCCGCGUGGGGGAUGACGGCCUUCGGGUUGUAAACUCCUUUCGCAAUCGACGAAGCCUUUUGGUGACGGUAGGUUGAGAAGAAGCACCGGCUAACUACGUG